CUGAUUUGAAGAGCUUGCUCAGAUAUGACGAUGGACAUUGCAAAGAGUGGCGAACGGGUGAGUAACACGUGGGAAACCUACCUCUUAGCAGGGGAUAACAUUUGGAAACAGAUGCUAAUACCGUAUAACAAUAGCAACCGCAUGGUUGCUACUUAAAAGAUGGUUCUGCUAUCACUAAGAGAUGGUCCCGCGGUGCAUUAGUUAGUUGGUGAGGUAAUGGCUCACCAAGACGAUGAUGCAUAGCCGAGUUGAGAGACUGAUCGGCCACAAUGGGACUGAGACACGGCCCAUACUCCUACGGGAGGCAGCAGUAGGGAAUCUUCCACAAUGGGCGAAAGCCUGAUGGAGCAACGCCGCGUGUGUGAUGAAGGGUUUCGGCUCGUAAAACACUGUUGUAAGAGAAGAAUGACAUUGAGAGUAACUGUUCAAUGUGUGACGGUAUCUUACCAGAAAGGAACGGCUAAAUACGUGCCAGCAGCCGCGGUAAUACGUAUGUUCCAAGCGUUAUCCGGAUUUAUUGGGCGUAAAGCGAGCGCAGACGGUUAUUUAAGUCUGAAGUGAAAGCCCUCAGCUCAACUGAGGAAUUGCUUUGGAAACUGGAUGACUUGAGUGCAGUAGAGGAAAGUGGAACUCCAUGUGUAGCGGUGAAAUGCGUAGAUAUAUGGAAGAACACCAGUGGCGAAGGCGGCUUUCUGGACUGUAACUGACGUUGAGGCUCGAAAGUGUGGGUAGC
rnacentral:rRNA from 1 species